rnacentral:rRNA from 1 species
AUGGAAGACAAGCGUCCCUUAAAGGACAAAAUAACUUACCUCAUCAGCUGGACGCUCCAAGAUGAAUCCGUGACCUUCGGUAGCGGAUGCGGGAGCCUCGGUGCCUUUGAACAGCACCUUCCAGACCUCUUCGUACGUAGUGUCGAAGAGCCCAUUCAAAGUCUGGUGCUGCGCCGGAUCGAACUCCCACAUGUUGAAGCCCCAUCGUUGACACGGGAGAAUCUGGCGGAUAAGCAUGACCUGGACUAUGUUGACGAGCUUGAGCUUCUUGUCCACCAGCUUUUGGACGCAGGUUUGGAGUCCGGUCAGCUCCUCCGAAUCACCCCAAAUCCGGUCGCUCUCUUUCCAGGAGGUGAGCCGUGUGGGGAUGCCAGAUCUGAAUUCGGGGGCCACUGCCCAUUCGGGGUCACGCGGCUCGGUGAUGUAGAACCACCCCGAUUGCCACCCCUUGAUGGUUUCCACAAAAGUGCCCUCCAGCCAUGUAACGUGGGACAUCCUGCCCACCAUGGCGCCUCCGCACUCCGCUUGGCUGCCCUUCACAACCUUCAGCUUGACACUGAAGGUCUUGAGCCACAAGCCGAAGUGGGGCUGGAUGCAGAGGAAGGCCUCACACACGACGAUAAACGCCGAAAUGUUGAGGAUGAAAUUCGGGGCCAGAUCAUGGAAAUCCAGGCCGUAGUAGAACAUGAGCCCCUGGACAAAGGGAUGGAGCGGGAAGCCCAGUCUGCGGAGGAAAUGGGGAAGAAAUACUACCCUCUCAUGGGGCUUGGGGGUGGGGAUGAGCUCUCCCUCGAUGGGGAGCCGGUGCGCGAUGUCGCUGGACAAGUAUCCGGCGUCGCGCAACUUCUGGAUCUGCCCCUCCGUGACGGAGGAGGCCAUCCACUUGCCUCCUGCUCCGGGCAUAGUUGGAGAAGGUUGAGGCGAGAUGUGCGGGCUUGGGCGCUGGAGCUCGGGUUCACAGAGAUGGAUAAGCCAAGGAGGAAGAAGGCGCCGGUAAAAGGGUUGGAUCUUUAUCCCCUUAUAUGGGCGGACAGAAACAUGCAUCCCCACCGGCCUGAUAAAACUCGCUUAUCCCCCAAGCACCGCAAUCAAUGGCGCGGUUGGGUUACCCAUGUCCGUACUGAUGGGAAUCCCGGAAUAAGGGGAACACUAUCUCUACUUCGACAAGACGUGCCAAGGAAACCGCCUCGCUAA